GUUCUUGACAAUGCUGUCCAAAAGAUAUAGCGAUGGCAGUUUUUGAUCCACAGGAACCUCGAUGAUGCGGGCACAGAUAGCGUCAGCAAUGCCCUCCCCAUGCUCCCUCAANNNNNNNNNNNUCGGUAAUGACAGGCUUCGAAUUGAAAAUCAAUUCAUCAAGCACCAACUCAUAAAGCUGCACAAUCUCCUCGGUACUCAGAAUAGGCCCUGCCACGUCAUCCUCCUCCGCAGACACCCUGACCUGCUCUUCCCGCUGCUUCAACAAUGCCUUGAACCUGUCGAACAAUGACGGUGGCGGCUUCUGCAAUAGCUCAUUGCUGGGCAUGGGCUUGGAGGAGCUACUAGUAAACCUAGGGUUUUGAAGUACUUUAUCCGAUUCCAUUUCCAGUCAAGCCGAGAGAAAAGAGUAACAGUAAUAAAGAGUGCGAAUUAGGGUUUGGAAGAAACAUGAGAAGACGCUGAUUGAAUUAGGGUUUCUAAUCGUCACCCUGGAAUUAGAGAGACAGAGCAUAGAGUUUGAACCGG
rnacentral:misc_RNA from 1 species